rnacentral:rRNA from 1 species
UUGAACGCUAGCGGGAUGCUUUACACAUGCAAGUCGAACGGCAGCGCGGACUUCGGUCUGGCGGCGAGUGGCGAACGGGUGAGUAAUGUAUCGGAACGUGCCCAGUAGCGGGGGAUAACUACGCGAAAGCGUAGCUAAUACCGCAUACGCCCUACGGGGGAAAGCAGGGGAUCGUAAGACCUUGCACUAUUGGAGCGGCCGAUAUCGGAUUAGCUAGUUGGUGAGGUAACGGCUCACCAAGGCGACGAUCCGUAGCUGGUUUGAGAGGACGACCAGCCACACUGGGACUGAGACACGGCCCAGACUCCUACGGGAGGCAGCAGUGGGGAAUUUUGGACAAUGGGGGCAACCUUGAUCCAGCCAUCCCGCGUGUGCGAUGAAGGCCUUCGGGUUGUAAAGCACUUUUGGCAGGAAAGAAACGUCGCGGGCUAAUACCCCGUGGAACUGACGGUACCUGCAGAAUAAGCACCGGCUAACUACGUG